UGCAGCUGACUAGUUCUGGGAUUUCUUGUCCAGAAGGAGCCUCCCUCAAAUCAUCCUCUUUAUCAAAGCCCUCCACGUGGGUGGUGCUGGUUUUAAUGAACCAUCUCUGUUCAGCAAAUUGUUGCUAUGUAGCAAGUAACACAUCUGAUUGUCAAUGCCAGUUAAGACGCUAAGCCCUCUGUGUUAGGGGACAAACCCAGAGACACCUGCGCUCCUCCCCAGCUGGGAUUUUUCUCACCAGACUGAGCUUGAGCCUUUUGCAGAGCUUCAUCUGGGAUGUGAGUGUCAAGAAAGCCACUGUGUUCAGGUUGUCCUUGAGAAUUUGCUUCUAUACUCCGGCAAGGCCUGGGAACAGAGCCUCCCUAGAAACGAGAAGUGGAGAUCUUUGGAGAAAAACUAACUUCAUGGAUGGAGUUUCACUCUGUUAUCCAGGCUUGAGUGAAGUGGUGUAAUCUCAACUCACUGCAACCUCCACCUCCCAGGUUCAAGCGAUUUUCAUGCCUCAGCCUCCCAAGUAGCUAGGAUUAUAGGUUAGUGCCUCUAAGCAUUGACCCAGCUUUUGGUCUUUAUGAUAAUGAAGACGUCUGACCUCUGGUGGCCAUGACAUUGUUGAAGAGGACUUCAAGAGACCAGGUAGUGCACUGGGUC